GCGUUCGUAGCUCAACUGGAUAGAGCGUCUGACUUCGGAUCAGAAGGUUGAGGGUUCAAAUCCUUCCGGGCGCA
rnacentral:tRNA from 2 species